GCGCCAUUAGCUCAGUUGGUAGAGCAACUGACUCUUAAUCAGUGGGCCCGGGGUUCGAGUCCCUGAUGGCGCA
rnacentral:tRNA from 1 species